rnacentral:piRNA from 1 species
UACGUCACUGGCAGACCUGCCUUCGCCAGC